rnacentral:rRNA from 1 species
AGAGUUUGAUCCUGGCUCAGGACGAACGCUGGCGGCACGCUUAACACAUGCAAGUCGAACGAGAGAAGAGGAGCUUGCUUUUCUGAUCUAGUGGCGGACGGGUGAGUAACACGUGAGCAAUCUGCCUUUCAGAGGGGGAUACCGAUUGGAAACGAUCGUUAAUACCGCAUAACAUAAUUGAACCGCAUGAUUUGAUUAUCAAAGAUUUAUCGCUGAAAGAUGAGCUCGCGUCUGAUUAGCUAGUUGGUAAGGUAACGGCUUACCAAGGCGACGAUCAGUAGCCGGACUGAGAGGUUGAUCGGCCACAUUGGGACUGAGACACGGCCCAGACUCCUACGAGAGGCAGCAGUGGGGAAUAUUGCACAAUGGAGGAAACUCUGAUGCAGCGAUGCCGCGUGAGGGAAGAAGGUUUUAGGAUUGUAAACCUCUGUCUUCAGGGACGAAAAAAGACGGUACCUGAGGAGGAAGCUCCGGCUAACUACGUGCCAGCAGCCGCGGUAAUACGUAGGGAGCGAGCGUUGUCCGGAAUUACUGGGUGUAAAGGGAGCGUAGGCGGGAUCGCAAGUCAGAUGUGAAAACUAUGGGCUUAACCCAUAAACUGCAUUUGAAACUGUGGUUCUUGAGUGAAGUAGAGGUAAGCGGAAUUCCUAGUGUAGCGGUGAAAUGCGUAGAUAUUUGGAGGAACAUCAGUGGCGAAGGCGGCUUACUGGGCUUUAACUGACGCUGAGGCUCGAAAGCGUGGGGAGCAAACAGGAUUAGAUACCCUGGUAGUCCACGCCGUAAACGAUGAUUACUAGGUGUGGGGGGACUGACCCCUUCCGUGCCGCAGCAAACGCAAUAAGUAAUCCACCUGGGGAGUACGACCGCAAGGUUGAAACUCAAAGGAAUUGACGGGGGCCCGCACAAGCAGUGGAGUAUGUGGAUUAAUUCGAAGCAACGCGAAGAACCUUACCAGGUCUUGACAUCGUAUGCAUAGCUCAGAGAUGAGUGAAAUCUCUUCGGAGACAUAUAGACAGGUGGUGCAUGGUUGUCGUCAGCUCGUGUCGUGAGAUGUUGGGUUAAGUCCCGCAACGAGCGCAACCCUUACUGUUAGUUGCUACGCAAGAGCACUCUAGCAGGACUGCCGUUGACAAAACGGAGGAAGGUGGGGAUGACGUCAAAUCAUCAUGCCCCUUAUGACCUGGGCCUCACACGUACUACAAUGGCUGUCAACAGAGGGAAGCAAAGCCGCGAGGUGGAGCGAACCCCUAAAAGCAGUCUUAGUUCGGAUUGUAGGCUGCAACCCGCCUACAUGAAGUCGGAAUUGCUAGUAAUCGCAGAUCAGCAUGCUGCGGUGAAUACGUUCCCGGGCCUUGUACACACCGCCCGUCACGCCAUGGGAGUCGGUAACACCCGAAGCCUGUAGUCUAACCGCAAGGAGGACGCAGUCGAAGGUGGGAUUGAUGACUGGGGUGAAGUCGUAACAAGGUA